UACGUAGGGGGCAAGCGUUGUCCGGAUUUAUUGGGCGUAAAGAGCGUGUAGGCGGCCAUACAGGUCAGCUGUGAAAACUCGAGGCUCAACCUCGAGAGGUCGGUGGAAACCGUCUGGCUAGAGUCCGGAAGAGGAGAGUGGAAUUCCCGGUGUAGCGGUGAAAUGCGCAGAUAUCGGGAAGAACACCCGUGGCGAAGGCGGCUCUCUGGGACGGUACUGACGCUGAGACGCGAAAGCGUGGGGAGCGAACAGG
rnacentral:rRNA from 1 species